rnacentral:tRNA from 1 species
ACUUCUAAAGGAUAACAGUACAUCCGUUGGUCUUAGGAACCAAAAACUCUUGGUGCAAGUCCAAGUAGAAGUU